AUUGUCUGUACUGGUGAGAUGAGUCUCUACCUUCUGAGGAACUUUCAUGCCAUUUAUUUGGUGUGGUUGGAAAUCAGGACUGUUACUUUGAAAAAAUUAGAGUGUUUAAAGCAGGCUAACGUCUGAAUACAUUAGCAUGGAAUAAUGAAAUAGGACGGAUUGAUUCUAUUUCGUUGGUUUCUAGGGUCACCGUAAUGAUUAAUAGGGAUAGUUGGGGGCAUUAGUAUUCAAUUGUCAGAGGUGAAAUUCUUGGAUUUAUUGAAGACUAACUACUGCGAAAGCAUUUGCCAAGGAUGUUUUCAUUAAUCAAGAACGAAAGUUAGGGGAUCGAAGACGAUCAGAUACCGUCGUAGUCUUAACCAUAAACUAUGCCGACUAGGGAUCGGACGCAGUUAAUUUUAUAAUGACGUGUUCGGCACCUUACG
rnacentral:rRNA from 1 species